UUUCGCUAUUAGAUGAGCCUGCGUGAGAUUAGCUAGUUGGUGGGGUAAAGGCCUACCAAGGCGACGAUCUCUAGCUGGUCUGAGAGGAUGAUCAGCCACACUGGGACUGAGACACGGCCCAGACUCCUACGGGAGGCAGCAGUGGGGAAUAUUGGACAAUGGGCGCAAGCCUGAUCCAGCCAUGCCGCGUGUGUGAAGAAGGCCUUAGGGUUGUAAAGCACUUUCAGAGGUGAGGAAGGGUGUGNAGUUAAUACCUGCAUAUCUUGACGUUAACUCCAGAAGAAGCACCGGCUAACUCUGUGCCAGCAGCCGCGGUAAUACAGAGGGUGCGAGCGUUAAUCGGAAUUACUGGGCGUAAAGCGCGCGUAGGCGGUUUGUUAAGUCGGAUGUGAAAUCCCAGGGCUCAACCUUGGAAUGGCACCCGAUACUGGCAGGCUAGAGUACGGUAGAGGGGUGUGGAAUUUCC
rnacentral:rRNA from 1 species